rnacentral:rRNA from 1 species
AGAGUUUGAUCCUGGCUCAGGAUGAACGCUGGCGGCAUGCUUAACACGUGCAAGUCGGACGGGAAGUGGUGUUUCCAGUGGCAGACGGGUGAGUAACGCGUAAGAACCUGCCCUUGGGAGGGGAACAAUAGCUGGAAAUGACUGCUAAUACCCCAUAGGCUGAGGAGAAAAAGGGGGAAUCUGCCCAAGGAGGGGCUCGCGUCUGAUUAGUUAGUUGGUGAGGCAAUGGCUUACCAAGGCGACGAUCAGUAGCUGGUCUGAGAGGAUGAUCAACCACGCUGGGACUGAGACAUGGCCCAGACUCCUACGGGAGGAAGCAGUGGGGAAUUUUCCGCAAUGGGCGACAGCCUGAUGGAGCAAUGCCGCGUGAAGGCAAAAGGCCCACGAGUCAUGAACUUCUUUUCUCGGAGAAGAAAAAUGACGGUCUCUGAGGAAUAAGCAUCAGCUAAAUCUGUGCCAGCAGCCGCGGUAAU